GACGAACGCUGGCGGCGUGCCUAAUACAUGCAAGUCGAGCGGAAGUUGGAGAGCUUGCUCUUCAACUUUAGCGGCGGACGGGUGAGUAACACGUGGGCAACCUGCCCUGCAGAUCGGGAUAACUCCGGGAAACCGGUGCUAACACCGAAUAGUUUUCGCCCCCUCCUGGUGGCGUACGGAAAGACGGUUUCGGCUGUCACUGCAGGAUGGGCACGCGGCGCAUGAGCUAGUUGGGGGGGUAACGGCCCACCAAGGCAGCGAUGCGUAGCCGACCUGAGAGGGUGAUCGGCCACACUGGGACUGAGACACGGCCCAGACUCCUACGGGAGGCAGCAGUAGGGAAUCUUCCGCAAUGGACGAAAGUCUGACGGAGCAACGCCGCGUGAGUGACGAAGGUUUUCGGAUCGUAAAACUCUGUUGUGAGGGAAGAACGAGUACCAACUCACUACUGGUACCUUUACGGUACCUCACCAGAAAGCCACGGCUAACUACGUGCCAGCAGCCGCCGUAAAAC
rnacentral:rRNA from 1 species